AACGAACGCUGGCGGCAGGCUUAACACAUGCAAGUCGAGCGCCCCGCAAGGGGAGCGGCAGACGGGUGAGUAACGCGUGGGAAUCUACCCAUCUCUACGGAAUAACGCAUGGAAACGUGUGCUAAUACCGUAUACGUCCUUCGGGAGAAAGAUUUAUCGGAGAUGGAUGAGCCCGCGUUGGAUUAGCUAGUUGGUGGGGUAAAGGCCUACCAAGGCGACGGUCCAUAGCUGGUCUGAGAGGAUGAUCAGCCACACUGGGACUGAGACACGGCCCAGACUCCUACGGGAGGCAGCAGUGGGGAGUAUUGGACAAUGGGCGCAAGCCUGAUCCAGCCAUGCCGCGUGAGUGAUGAAGGCCCUAGGGUUGUAAAGCUCUUUCACCGGUGAAGAUAAUGACGGUAACCGGAGAAGAAGCCCCGGCUAACUUCGUGCCAGCCGCCGCAGUAACAC
rnacentral:rRNA from 1 species